rnacentral:rRNA from 1 species
AACGAACGCUGGCGGCAGGCUUAACACAUGCAAGUCGAACGCACCUUUCGGGGUGAGUGGCAGACGGGUGAGUAACGCGUGGGAAUCUACCCUUCUCUACGGGAUAGCUCCGGGAAACUGGAAUUAAUACCGUAUACGUCCUGAGGGAGAAAGAUUUAUCGGGGAAGGAUGAGCCCGCGUUGGAUUAGCUAGUUGGUGGGGUAAGGGCCUACCAAGGCGACGAUCCAUAGCUGGUCUAAGAGGAUGAUCAGCCACAUUGGCACUGAGACACGGCCCAAACUCCUACGGGAGGCAGCAGUGGGGAAUAUUGGACAAUGGGCGCAAGCCUGAUCCAGCCAUGCCGCGUGAGUGAUGAAGGCCCUAGGGUUGUAAAGCUCUUUCAGUGGGGACGAUAAUGACGGUACCCACAGAAGAAGCCCCGGCUAACUUCGUG